GGACAGAAAGACCCUAUGAAGCUUUACUGUAACUUGAAAUUGGAUUUGGGCUUUUCUUGCGCAGCAUAGGUGGGAGGUGUUGAUGCCAAGUUUGAGGAUUUGGUGGAGCCGUCAAUGAGAUACCACUCUGGAACAGCUAAAAUUCUAACUCCGUGCCGUUAUCCGGCCGGACGACAGUUUCAGGUGGGCAGUUUGACUGGGGCGGUCGCCUCCUAAAAAGUAACGGAGGCGUGCAAAGGUUCCCUCAGACUGGUCGGAAAUCAGUCGUAGAGUAUAAAGGCAUAAGGGAGCUUGACUGCAAGACUUACAAGUCGAGCAGAGACGAAAGUCGGCCUUAGUGAUCCGACAGUGCUGAGUGGAAGGGCUGUCGCUCAACGGAUAAAAGUUACUCUAGGGAUAACAGGCUGA
rnacentral:rRNA from 1 species